rnacentral:lncRNA from 1 species
CUCCCCGCCGCCCCCGGUAUACAAAUAUAAGUCACCUCCUCCCCCCGUCUACCACUACAGCUCGCCACCACCGCCGGUUUACAAGUACAAGUCGCCACCACCACCUGUGUACCAUGCCCCGGCUCCUGUUUACAAGUACGAGUCGCCCCCCCCACCGGUUUACAAGUACAGCUCCCCUCCACCGCCGGUCUACAAAUAUAAGUCGCCACCACCUCCUGUGUACCACGCCCCGGCUCCUGUUUACAAGUACAAGUCACCUCCUCCCCCCGUCUACCACUACAGCUCGCCACCACCGCCGGUUUACAAGUACAAGUCACCACCACCACCUGUGUACCACGCCCCGGCACCAGUUUACAAGUACAACUCGCCACCACCCCCAGUUUACAAGUACAGCUCGCCACCACCACCUGUUUACAAAUACAAGUCGCCACCACCACCUGUGUACCACACCCCGGCUCCUGUUUACAAGUACGAGUCGCCUCCUCCGCCGGUGUACAAGUACAGCUCCCCGCCGCCACCGGUCUACAAAUAUAAGUCGCCACCACCACCUGUGUACCACGUCCCAGCGCCGGUUUACAAGUACGAAUCUCCUCCGCCACCGGUGUACAAGUACAGCUCUCCGCCACCACCAGUCUACAAGUAUAAGUCGCCACCACCACCUGUGUACCACGCCCCUGCUCCAGUCUACAAGUACAAAUCUCCUCCGCCACCGGUGUACAAGUACAGCUCGCCACCACCACCGGUUUACAAAUACAAGUCGCCUCCUCCACCUGUUUACCACGCCCCGGCUCCAGUCUACAAGUACAAAUCCCCGCCACCACCGGUGUAUCACUA